rnacentral:rRNA from 1 species
AGGACGAACGCUGGCGGCGUGCUUAACACAUGCAAGUCGAACGGUGAAGCCCUUCGGGGUGGAUCAGUGGCGAACGGGUGAGUAACACGUGGGCAAUCUGCCCUGCAUUCUGGGACAAGCCUUGGAAACGAGGUCUAAUACCGGAUACGACGCAUCCCCGCAUGGGGUGUGCGUGGAAAGCUCCGGCGAUGCAGGAUGAGCCCGCGGCCUAUCAGCUUGUUGGUGGGGUAAUGGCCUACCAAGGCGACGACGGGUAGCCGGCCUGAGAGGGCGACCGGCCACACUGGGACUGAGACACGGCCCAGACUCCUACGGGAGGCAGCAGUGGGGAAUAUUGCACAAUGGGCGAAAGCCUGAUGCAGCGACGCCGCGUGAGGGAUGACGGCCUUCGGGUUGUAAACCUCUUUCAGCAGGGAAGAAGCGCAAGUGACGGUACCUGCAGAAGAAGCACCGGCUAACUACGUGCCAGCAGCCGCGGU